AUGGCUCAGGACGAACGCUGGCGGCGUGCCUAACACAUGCAAGUCGAGCGGGGACAUUAACAGAACGGAAGUUUCGGACGGAAGGGAAGAUAAGUGUUCUAGCGGCGGACGGGUGAGUAACGCGUGAGCAACCUGUCCUUCACAGGGGGAUAACACAGCGAAAGUUGUACUAAUACCGCAUAAGACCACGGUACCGCAUGGUGCAGGGGUCAAAGGAGGAAUCCGGUGAAGGGUGGGCUCGCGUCCGAUUAGAUAGUUGGUGAGGUAACGGCCCACCAAGUCAACGAUCGGUAGCCGACCUGAGAGGGUGAUCGGCCACAUUGGGACUGAGACACGGCCCAAACUCCUACGGGAGGCAGCAGUGGGGAAUAUUGGGCAAAUGGGGGAAACCCUGACCCAGCAACGCCGCGUGAGGGAAGAAGGUUUUCGGAUCGUAAACCUCUGUCCUAGGUGAAGAGGAAGAGACGGUAGCCUAGGAGGAAGCCCCGGCUAACUACGUGCCAGCCGCGGC
rnacentral:rRNA from 1 species